rnacentral:rRNA from 1 species
UACAGAGGGGGCAAGCGUUGUUCGGAAUUACUGGGCGUAAAGGGCGCGUAGGCGGCCUUCUAAGUCGAACGUGAAAUCCCUGGGCUCAACCCAGGAACUGCGUCCGAUACUGGAAGGCUUGAAUCCGGGAGAGGGAUGCGGAAUUCCAGGUGUAGCGGUGAAAUGCGUAGAUAUCGGGAGGAACACCUAUGGCGAAGGCAGCUCGCUGGGACGUUACUGACGCUGAGACGCGAAAGCGUGGGGAGCGAACAGG